CCAAAGACUGACGCUCAUGUGCGAAAGCGUGGGUAGCGAACAGGAUUAGAUACCCUGGUAGUCCACGCCGUAAACGCUGUCUACUAGCUGGUUGUGAAUUUGAUUCGUGAGUAGCGAAGCUAAAGCGAUAAGUAGACCGCCUGGGGAGUACGGUCGCAAGGUUAAAACUCAAAUGAAUUGACGGGGGCCCGCACAAGCGGUGGAGCAUGUGGUUUAAUUCGAUGCAACGCGAAGAACCUUACCUACUCUUGACAUCCUGAAAACUGUGCGGAGACGAAUUGGUGCCUUCGGGAAACCCCCACACAGGUGCUGCAUGGCUGUCGUCAGCUCGUGUCGUGAGAUGUUGGGUUAAGUCCCGCAACGAGCGCA
rnacentral:rRNA from 1 species